UACAGAACUUCACUUCAGGCUAAAUUAUACUACGCCAGGAACGUACAACUGCAGUGUUUUCGUCACGACUGAUGAAGAUAUAACGCAGACGUGGUGGUGUGAUAUGUACGUACGACGAGGACUUCCAGAAUGUACUUUUCCACCUGUGGAGUGCGAAAAUGCCUUCCGUAAUGCUUGCCCGAACGGAAUAUAUACAACGAAAUACAGUUGGAACUGCACUGCAGCCUAAGCGAAUAUUACAAGUGAUCUCUGAAUUUGCGAGAUAAAUUACUUUCAUCAUUGUUUCUUCA